rnacentral:rRNA from 1 species
GACGAACGCUGGCGGCGGGCUUAACACAUGCAAGUCGAACGGAAAGGCCCUGCUUUUGUGGGGUGCUCGCGUGGCGAACGGGUGAGUAACAUGUGAGUAACCUGCCCUUGACUUUGGGAUAACUUCAGGAAACUGGGGCUAAUACCGGAUAGGAGCUCCUGCUGCAUGGUGGGGGUUGGAAAGUUUCGGCGGUUGGGGAUGGACUCGCGGCUUAUCAGCUUGUUGGUGGGGUAGUGGCUUACCAAGGGUUUGACGGGUAGCCGGCCUGAGAGGGUGGCCGGCCACAUUGGGACUGAGGUACGGCCCAGACUCCUACGGGAGGCAGCAGUGGGGAAUAUUGCACAAUGGGCGGAAGCCUGAUGCAGCAACGCCGCGUGCGGGAUGACGGCCUUCGGGUUGUAAACCGCUUUCGCCUGUGACGAAGCGUUAGUGACGGUAAUGGGUAAAGAAGCACCGGCUAACUACGUG